rnacentral:rRNA from 1 species
CUAUAACGAAGUGGUAACUAAAGGACAAAAAGACCCUUUGAAGCUUUAUAGGGAUAAAACUCAGCUUUAAAUCCAUCUUGUUGCUUCUCCGCUUUUUAAAUUGCUAAAGCCUUACAAGAUUUACAACAUCAAGACC